AGCGAACGCUGGCGGCAGGCUUAACACAUGCAAGUCGGGCGGGCACUUUCGGGUGUCAGCGGCGGACGGGUGAGUAACGCGUGGGAACGUGCCCUCUGGUUCGGAAUAACUCAGGGAAACUUGAGCUAAUACCGGAUACGCCCUUUUGGGGAAAGGCUUGCUGCCGGAGGAUCGGCCCGCGUCUGAUUAGCUAGUUGGUGAGGUAACGGCUCACCAAGGCGACGAUCAGUAGCUGGUCUGAGAGGAUGAUCAGCCACACUGGGACUGAGACACGGCCCAGACUCCUACGGGAGGCAGCAGUGGGGAAUAUUGGACAAUGGGCGCAAGCCUGAUCCAGCCAUGCCGCGUGAGUGAUGAAGGCCUUAGGGUUGUAAAGCUCUUUUAUCCGGGACGAUAAUGACGGUACCGGAGGAAUAAGCCCCGGCUAACUUCGUG
rnacentral:rRNA from 1 species